UACGUGAGGGGCGAACGUUGUUCGGUGUCACUGGGCUUAAAGGGUGCGUAGGUGGUUGCGUAAGUAACGUGUGAAAGCCCUCGGCUUACCCGGGGAAUUGCGCGUUAUACUGCGUGACUUGAGGAUUUCAGGGGAAAGGGGAACUCCAGGUGUAGCGGUGAAAUGCGCAGAUAUCUGGGGGAAGGCCGGCGGCGAAGGCGCCUUUCUGGGAAAUUCCUGACACUGAGGCACGAAAGCGUGGGGAGCAAACAGG
rnacentral:rRNA from 1 species